GCUUACGGCCAUACCACCCUGAGAACGCCCGAUCUCGUCUGAUCUCGGAAGCUAAGCAGGGUCGGUCCUGGUUAGUACUUGGAUGGGAGACCGCCUGGGAAUACCAGGUGCUGUAAACU
rnacentral:rRNA from 1 species